GACGAACCGAGCGAACGUUGUUCGGAAUCACUGGGCUUAAAGGGCGCGUAGGCGGGCUGUCAAGUCUGGGGUGAAAUCCCGCGGCUCAACCGUGGAACUGCCUCAGAUACUGACGGCCUCGAGGGAGGUAGGGGCGAGCGGAACUGUGAGUGGAGCGGUGAAAUGCGUUGAUAUUCACAGGAACUCCGGUGGCGAAGGCGGCUCGCUGGACCUCUUCUGACGCUGAGGCGCGAAAGCCAGGGGAGCAAACGGG
rnacentral:rRNA from 1 species